rnacentral:rRNA from 1 species
UACGAAGGGGGCGAGCGUUGUUCGGAAUCACUGGGCGUAAAGGGCGCGUAGGCGGCCCUCUUAGUCGCGUGUGAAAGCCCCGGGCUCAACCUGGGAACUGCAUCUGUGACUGUAUAGCUAGAGUACGGUAGAGGGGGAUGGAAUUCCGCGUGUAGCAGUGAAAUGCGUAGAUAUGCGGAGGAACACCGAUGGCGAAGGCAAUCCCCUGGACCUGUACUGACGCUCAUGCACGAAAGGCGUGGGGAGCAAACAGG